GAUGACCUUUGGCCGCAACACGGCAGGUGGCUGCAUGGCGGCGUCGGACGACCUGCUGACCGCGCACUACACAGAGGACUACCAGGAGCAGCAGCUGCCCGACAACCCCGAGCGACUACAGUAAAUGGUGAUGAUGGUGCAGCUCCUGUGUGGACAUGCUCUGUUACAACAACACAACACCGAGCCAGAAGACGAAGCCGUAACAUAAGCAGCAGUUGCUGUUGAAUGACCGUGCUGACCUCCAAGCUGAGCUAUGGCAAGGCAGUGAACACAUCAGUGGUUUUGGACCAACCAGCUCUCCAGCUGCAUCACUGAAUCGGUGGAACUGCACAAACUACAAGUCUGCUGUGCGUCAUGCAUACUCCCGGCCGACCACAGUGCAAGAUUUAACUACUUAUAACAAGGGACAACAUGGCAUCCCCCACAUCCUUUCCCAUGGUGUUGUCUCAAUGUUUUUGAAGUAUCUGGUUUGUGUGUGUGUUUAAGUUACUACUUCUGACCACGUACUAUCAAUAGGUGUCUUAACACUUCAGAGUAACAAGAAAAAAAUACAUAUCAGAGCAGGCCAAAUUAUAAGUAAAGUUCAUAAAGGUUAGAGCAGGCUUCACCCAACAUUUUUUCUCUUCUUUUAAGGGUGCUGACUAA